rnacentral:rRNA from 1 species
AUGCAGAGGCGGAGGCCGGGAUUCCACCAUGUGGAAGAGACAGAGAACAAUGUAGUGCGCAGCCUGUUCUGGACAGACUCCUUGUGUAAGAUGAAUUAUGAUCUAUAUGGAGAUUUCGUGUCUUUUGACACGACAUUCUCUACGAAUAUAUAUGGCUUGCCAUUUGCACCAAUUAUAGGUGUCGACAACCACGGGUCGACCGUCCUGUUUGGAGUAGGCCUUUUGAAGGAUGAGAAAAUAGGGUCAUUCAAGUGGCUCCUAAGCACGUUUGUCGAGGCAAUGGGAGGUAAAGACCCUAAAUACAUAAUAACAGACCAGGACCAGGAGAUGAAGACUGCAAUAAAGGAAGCUCUUCCGAGAACGAGGCAUAGGUUCUGCUGGUGGCAUAUUAAGAAGAACCUGAAGGAAAAUAACGCAGCAGUGUUUGCGCAGCACCCUGGGAUGUCUGAUGAUAUAUUUCGAAUCGUCAAAAACUCACUAGAUCAAGACGAGUUUGAGCGUGCCUGGAAUGCAGCAAUUUCUCUGCACAAGGCGGAAGGCAACAAACACCUGAACACGCUAUGGGAACUCUGA